GAUGAACGCUGGCGGCGUGCCUAAUACAUGCAAGUCGAGCGAACAGACGAGGAGCUUGCUCCUCUGACGUUAGCGGCGGACGGGUGAGUAACACGUGGAUAACCUACCUAUAAGACUGGGAUAACUUCGGGAAACCGGAGCUAAUACCGGAUAACAUGUUGAACCGCAUGGUUCAACAGUGAAAGACGGUCUUGCUGUCACUUAUAGAUGGAUCCGCGCCGCAUUAGCUAGUUGGUAAGGUAACGGCUUACCAAGGCAACGAUGCGUAGCCGACCUGAGAGGGUGAGCGGCCACACUGGAACUGAGACACGGUCCAGACUCCUACGGGAGGCAGCAGUAGGGAAUCUUCCGCAAAGGGCGAAAGCCUGACGGAGCAACGCCGCGUGAGUGAAGAAGGUCUUCGGAUCGUAAAACUCUGUUAUUAGGGAAGAACAAAUGUGUAAGUAACUAUGCACGUCUUGACGGUACCUAAUCAGAAAGCCACGGCUAACUACGUG
rnacentral:rRNA from 1 species